UCCAUGGUCUAGAGGUAGCGUACUUGCCUCGAAAGCUCUGGGUCCCGGGUUCGAUUCCCGGUCGAGGAA
rnacentral:tRNA from 1 species